rnacentral:rRNA from 1 species
UACGGAGGGGGCUAGCGUUAUUCGGAAUUACUGGGCGUAAAGCGCGUGUAGGUGGCCUGAAAAGUCAGGGGUGAAAUCCCAGAGCUUAACUCUGGAAUUGCCUCUGAAACUGUCAGGCUUGCAUCUGUCAGAGGGUGGUGGAAUUCCUAGUGUAGAGGUGAAAUUCGUAGAUAUUAGGAGGAACACCAGUGGCGAAGGCGACCACCUGGGGCAGUAUGGACACUGAGACGCGAAAGCGUGGGGAGCAAACAGG